GACGAACGCUGGCGGCGUGCCUAAUACAUGCAAGUCGAGCGGACCUUCGGGGUUAGCGGCGGACGGGUGAGUAACACGUGGGUAAUCUGCCCAACUGACUGGAAUAACGCCUGGAAACGGGUGCUAAUGCCGGAUAGGCAAACUGGUAGGCAUCUAACCGGUUGGGAAAGGUGCAAACUGCACCGCAGAUGGAGGAGCCCGCGGCGCAUUAGCUAGUUGGUGGGGUAACGGCUCACCAAGGCAACGAUGCGUAGCCGACCUGAGAGGGUGACCGGCCACACUGGGACUGAGACACGGCCCAGACUCCUACGGGAGGCAGCAGUAGGGAAUCUUCCACAAUGGGCGCAAGCCUGAUGGAGCAACGCCGCGUGAGUGAAGACGGCCUUCGGGUUGUAAAGCUCAGUCACUCGGGAAGAGCGGACGAGGGAGUGGAAAGCCCUCGUCGAGACGGUACCGAGAGAGGAAGCCCCGGCUAACUACGUG
rnacentral:rRNA from 1 species